rnacentral:rRNA from 1 species
UACAGAGACUGCAAGCGUUAUUCGGAUUCACUGGGCGUAAAGGGUGCGCAGGCGGCCAAGUGUGUGAGGCGUGAAAGCUCGAAGCUUAACUUCGGAAUUGCACCUCAAACUACAUGGCUAGAGCAUUGGAGAGGGUAGCGGAAUUCACGGUGUAGCAGUGAAAUGCGUAGAUAUCGUGAGGAACACCAGAGGCGAAGGCGGCUACCUGGACAAUUGCUGACGCUCAGGCACGAAAGCGUGGGGAGCAAAAGGG